CUGAACGAUUAUUACAGUUUUCAUAGUACAACCCGAAAGACUUUUUAUUUUAUUUUAUUUUAUUUUAUUCCAACCUACUUCUCUCCCUCACCUAACACACAUCCACCUACUCCCUCUCUCACCCACCUACCCUCAAAGCUCAUCCGUCAUAGUUAUACUUAGCAAAUUUGUUAUUCAUCACUUCACACCAAUCACCCAAUACACUUUCAUUUUUUUUUAAAGAGAGAGUUGAAGCUUCAUAACUUCAUCAGCCAACCAGUCAAACAUGAGCACAUAGAGUUCAAGUUCAGAGCACCACAAUCACCGAUUCAAGGUUGAGCAGCUGAUGGAAUGGAAUGAUGUUGAGCGGGUGUUCCUUUGAUCAUUUCAAGAAAUGUAACCUUGAGUAUACAUCUUCAUAUGUAUAUCUCACACGUUUUCCGCUGCAAAACACUUUGAUUAGGAUAGCUCUAUGUUAUGACGUUGUGAUACGUGUUAUUGGGUAACCCACCUUAAUCAGUUCUCAUUUAUGUGUAUGUUUUAUAAGUAUCCAAAUAAUCAUAUAUGAUCCUAGCAUUUUAUCUAUGAGUGACAUUUCCAUAUACUUUAAUGUUAAGUAAUUGUCCAUUUCCA